rnacentral:rRNA from 1 species
GAUGAACGCUAGCGGGAGGCCUAACACAUGCAAGUCGAACGGGAUUGGUAGCAAUACCAUGAGAGUGGCGCACGGGUGAGUAACGCGUAUGCAACCUACCUUUAACUGGGGGAUAGCCCGAAGAAAUUCGGAUUAAUACCGCAUAAGAUUACAGAUCUGCAUGGAUUAGUAAUUAAAACUCAGGUGGUUAAAGAUGGGCAUGCGUGACAUUAGCUAGUUGGUAAGGUAACGGCUUACCAAGGCUACGAUGUCUAGGGGUUCUGAGAGGAUGAUCCCCCACACUGGUACUGAGACACGGACCAGACUCCUACGGGUGGCUG